GAGAGAGACACAGAGAAGAGAGCAGAGACCUCACUCACCUGGGAAGGUUCCUACAAUUUUGAUUCGUCCGACAUGCCUGUCUUAGACUAAAGGCUUUUAUUGGGAUCCCUGGUCUACGUCACCCUCUUGUGAACAUCUGCCAAAAUCCAUCUGCAACGCCUUUGUGCAUGGUUCGACAAUGGUGAUUUAGCUCUCGGACUAGUAACUCUAGCUUAUUCAUAAAUUCACGUUGUUAACACUUGGGAUGGUGUUUGGUUUCGGUGUAUCGGCCCUUUUAUUUCCUUCCUGAUACUAAUGUAAACCUCAGUUGCUCAAUUGUAAGGUAAUUUUAAGUGGGUUAUUAUUCCUAUGGGUAUAUUCUUCUACAUAAAUGACCAUGACUUUUAGAUACUAAUCUUCCUGAAUAUUUCUUUACAGACAGCGAGCGAAGCAGAACGAAGGAAACGCCCUACGAUCUACGUGAAUUGCCUUGUUCUCCUACCAAUUGUUUGUAACUACGGUACUACGUCAUUUUAAAGGCUUAUUUAUGUAAUAAAUAUCAUAUUUAAUUACAUUUUUCCUUCCAACCUUUAUUUCA